ACGGGAGGCAGCAGUGGGGAAUAUUGCACAAUGGGGGAAACCCUGAUGCAGCGACGCCGCGUGAGUGAAGAAGUAUUUCGGUAUGUAAAGCUCUAUCAGCAGGGAAGAAAAUGACGGUACCUGACUAAGAAGCCCCGGCUAACUACGUGCCAGCAGCCGCGGUAAUACGUAGGGGGCAAGCGUUAUCCGGAUUUACUGGGUGUAAAGGGAGCGUAGACGGCCAGACAAGGCUGAUGUGAAAGCCCGGGGCCCAACCCCGGAACUGCAUUGGAAACUGCCAGGCUGGAGUGCAGGAGAGGCAAGUGGAAUUCCUAGUGUAGCGGUGAAAUGCGUAGAUAUUAGGAGGAACACCAGUGGCGAAGGCGGCUUGCUGGACUGUAACUGACGUUGAGGCUCGAAAGCGUGGGGAGCAAACAGGAUUAGAUACCCUGGUA
rnacentral:rRNA from 1 species